rnacentral:rRNA from 1 species
CACGUAGGGGGCGAGCGUUGUCCGGAUUUAUUGGGCGUAAAGAGCGUGUAGGCGGCCAGGUAGGUCCGCUGUGAAAACUCGAGGCUCAACCUCGAGAUGUCGGCGGAAACCAUCUGGCUAGAGUCCGGAAGAGGAAAGUGGAAUUCCCGGUGUAGCGGUGAAAUGCGCAGAUAUCGGGAAGAACACCCGUGGCGAAGGCGGCUUUCUGGGACGGUACUGACGCUGAGACGCGAAAGCGUGGGGAGCGAACAGG